GAGAUAAUUUAGCACCUUAAGCAUAGUUGUCUGGCCCAUCUGUAUGCUACUUCCAUGUCGCCACCAGCAGUCCAAUAAGUUAUUUCUGCUAUUAAAGUUAUCCUUGGGGAGGAUGGCUCCAACAGAGGUGCCCAAAAACUUGCUCGCAUCCGCGAGAAUAGUAAUUUCUUCAGGUCAGAGCUCAAGAAGAUGGGUUUUGAGGUUCUUGGUGACAAUGACUCUCCUGUCAUGCCCAUAAUGCUCUACAAUCCGGCUAAGAUUCCUGCAUUCUCUAGGGAGUGCCUUAGACAAAAGGUUAGUAGUAGAGUUUGUCAGGAUAUUCUGAAGAUCCAAAUAGCACUAUGCUUUUGGUAUACUUUUUUUU